GCCCCAGCUGCUGGAAUCAAGAGGCUGCAUUUAAAUAAAAAGAUAUAUUGAAGCACCUUGAAAACUCGUCAGAUGCGCGAUAGGAAAUGCUCCAUGCAGCAGGAAUAAGGGCAUGUCGCCUUCAGCUAAAUUAUAGAAAUUACAGUGGCAGUUUAUAGGAAUAGAUUCAAACUGUUACCUGCUCCCCCUUUCCCUCCAAAACCAAAGACUGUGACAGACUCUCGCUCCCUUUUGUGUUUGCGCUAAUGUUCUGAAUGUCUACACCGCAUAGCCGAUGAUUAUUUGUGAGACAGGAUUUACCAAAAUAGGCAAAGAAAAUAUCCCUCACUUAUCUCAAGACGACUUAACUCCUCACAAUUUUAAUAAAUCAAGGACCAUUUGUAAGUAUAAAAUGUUAAAUGUGUAUUCCCCAUUAAUUUUUCAUCAACUAACAAUGGUGACACGUUAAUUGAAGGCCACUA